rnacentral:rRNA from 1 species
UACAGAGGUGGCAAGCGUUGUUCGGAAUUACUGGGCGUAAAGGGCGCGUAGGCGGUCCUGUAAGUCUUGUGUGAAAUCCCUCGGCUUAACUGAGGAACUGCACGAGAUACUGCGAGACUUGAGUUCGGGAGAGGAAAGCGGAAUUCCGGGUGUAGCGGUGAAAUGCGUAGAUAUCCGGAGGAACACCGGUGGCGAAGGCGGCUUUCUGGACCGACACUGACGCUGAGGAGCGAAAGCCAGGGGAGCAAACGGG